rnacentral:lncRNA from 1 species
AACCGUCUAUAUUGUAGCAACAUAACAAGAAGUGGGACCGUAGUAGUACUUUUAGGCCAGUCUCAGUGGCCCGUUUCAAUGCACUGUUUCCAAAACAAAUCCGCUGACAGGGCAUCAAUGAAACGAAUAAUGAAACAACCUUCACAAUGUAUAAGUUUCACAAGUAUUUAAUUACUGCAAAAUGAUUGGAUCACAUGCAAGAUUACCCAUUAACUUAUGUAUAAGUCCAUUAACUUAAAGUUGCUCUCUAGAUCCAUUAAUUUAUGGGUUUCUAUUUAUUUUUGAUUUAUACAAUUUUUGGUUCCAUUAACUUAUGUGCAAGUUUCUGUUUUUUUAACUUAUAUAAUUUUUGUUUGAAAUUCCUUCAAUCCACACAAUUUCUAAACAAUUAAGUGGUUCACACAAUUCUAAAUAAUUAGGUGGCAUUUGGGUAGUCAGUAUGAUAUAUAGGAAAAUAUAAAUAGUUUGUGAUAAAAAGGGCUGGUUAGUGAUAUGGAAAUGAGAAUUUGAGGCUAGCAGAAAACUCAUAAUUGAAAAUAGUUAAAAAAUACAGUUAAAUAGACUCCACUUGCUUAAAAAAUAAAAAAAAAACCGUUCUCGGUUUCCACGCCAACAGCAGGUUUAUCCAUCCAUCGAAGCUGCAUCUCUUUUUUAGAUAAAAGAAUUUUUAUUUCGGCCUCUGCAAGAAUUUUGCACUCAACCAUUCAUUGUUACGACGUUUAAGUCACAAACCGAUAUAGAAAAGCUCAAAAAAAUCCUCAAAAGUAAUUCUCCAUGGUCGCAGCAGGAUGCAAGGAUCUCCGCUGGAUCCCACAUUGGCAACGCAUGGAUAGGCAUCAAAUCCCC